AAAAAUAAUAUCAUCAUUAUAAAAAAAUAAUUAGAGUUUUUUCGCAUAUGCCAUAAUUUGAAUUUUUAAAAACAAAUAUAAACUGUUCAAUACAUGAAAAAAUAUUAUAACGGUGAAAAAUAGAUUUAAGAAAACUUUCUACUGAGUAACGGGUCAUAAUUUGAAAUAUUUAUAUUCAAUUUCAUACAUAUUAUAUUGAAAAUUUAUAAUUUAUAUAUACUACAAUAAUUAAUAACAUAUUAGAUGUGAUUCAAUUUUUAAUACAAGCUGAAAAAUCCUAGAAUUGACGGGUUUAGAUCGAUAUUAAUACAAGAUGGUAUACUACAGGUGAAACUCUUAAAUUAACAAUCGAACUACAAGUGUAUAAUCUUAAACACUAAACAAUAUAGAUAAUAUCAACAAAACAUAUACAACUCACAGUUUACUAUACAUUUAAAAUCAAAUAAAAUAAUAUCAUAUAUUUUUUAAUCAUCUUUACAAUAAAAGUUUUUAGUUUAACUAAAAUAUAAGUCUACCUGCGGUAUAUUGUAGGUUAAUAUAUAGAUUAUAGAGCUCAUUCGAUCUAAAAACGGGUCAUCAAAGAUUUCCUAAACUGAAGCAAAAUAUACUAAAUAUUCAAAUAUCUAUAUGUUACCAAAUUAUAAACAAAUAAGUCAAUUUAU
rnacentral:sRNA from 1 species